GUGUCAGCAGCCGCGGUAAUACAGAGAGGGCAAGCGUUGUCCGGAAUGACUGGGCGUAAAGCGCGCGCAGGCGGUUUCUUAAGUUGGAUGUGAAAUCCCCGGGCUUAACCUGGGAACUGCAUUCGAUACUGGGGAACUAGAGGCCGAGAGAGGAAAGCGGAAUGACGAGUGUAGAGGUGAAAUUCGUAGAUAUUCGUCGGAACACCAGAGGCGAAGGCGGCUUUCUGGCUCGGACCUGACGCUCAGGCGCGAAAGCGUGGGGAGCAAACAGGAUUAGAAACCCCGGUAGUCC
rnacentral:rRNA from 1 species